rnacentral:rRNA from 1 species
AGCGAACGCUGGCGGCAGGCUUAACACAUGCAAGUCGAACGCAUCCUUCGGGGUGAGUGGCAGACGGGUGAGUAACACGUGGGAACGUACCUUUUGGUUCGGAACAACUGAGGGAAACUUCAGCUAAUACCGGAUACGCCCUUAUGGGGAAAGAUUUAUCGCCGAAAGAUCGGCCCGCGUCUGAUUAGCUAGUUGGUGAGGUAAUGGCUCACCAAGGCGACGAUCAGUAGCUGGUCUGAGAGGAUGAUCAGCCACACUGGGACUGAGACACGGCCCAGACUCCUACGGGAGGCAGCAGUGGGGAAUAUUGGACAAUGGGCGCAAGCCUGAUCCAGCCAUGCCGCGUGAGUGAUGAAGGCCUUAGGGUUGUAAAGCUCUUUUAUCCGGGACGAUAAUGACGGUACCGGAAGAAUAAGCCCCGGCUAACUUCGUG